rnacentral:rRNA from 1 species
GACGAAGGUGGCAAGCGUUGUUCGGUAUCACUGGGCUUAAAGCGUGUGUAGGCGGAAGGGUAAGCGUCAUGUGAAAGCCCCCGGCUUAACCGGGGAAUCGCUUGACGUACUGCCUUUCUUGAGCCAAGUAGGGGUGCAUGGAACUCUUGGUGGAGCGGUGAAAUGCGUAGAUAUCAAGAGGAACGCCUGUGGUGAAAACGGUGCACUGGGCUUGUGCUGACGCUGAGACACGAAAGCGUGGGGAGCGAACGGGAUUAGAUACCCCUGUA